UUGGCAUCUCCCCAGCUCGGUGGCUGCAGCCAGCCCUGCCUCUCAAGGCCCCGGGCACACGUGUGACUCAAGCUGCCCUGGGGCUGCCCACUGCCCACCUGGGGCCAGAGGCUUGAAGCCCAGCCAGGGUCCCAGGCAGUGCUGGACUGGGGGCUGCGCUGCGGGGAGGCGCCCUGUCACUAAGGGUGCCGCCCCCGAGCCCUACCCCGGCCAGGGUGAGGCCAGCCCCUGCAGUAGCCUCUCUGGCCACCAGGAACUCAGGGGUCCGGCGGCACGGAAGUGCACCCGGGGAAGGUCCCAGGGCAAGGGCAUAUCAAGAGGAUGCCUGAAGGCCGGGACUUGGGGAUCCUCAGGCCACCCCGUCCCACUGGGAAGACACGCCCAUCUCUGCCUGUCAUCAGCUGCCGGCCAGCCCAAAGCCAGGCCCACGACGGCUCUGAGAACCGGGACCUCCCUCGUGCCCGCCACGGGCCUGGCGGAGACCCCCUCGGCAUGGUGACUGUCCACCCGCCUCUGAGGAC